AUUGAACGCUGGCGGCAGGCCUAACACAUGCAAGUCGAGCGGUAGAGAGAAGCUUGCUUCUCUUGAGAGCGGCGGACGGGUGAGUAAUGCCUAGGAAUCUGCCUGGUAGUGGGGGAUAACGUUCGGAAACGGACGCUAAUACCGCAUACGUCCUACGGGAGAAAGCAGGGGACCUUCGGGCCUUGCGCUAUCAGAUGAGCCUAGGUCGGAUUAGCUAGUUGGUGAGGUAAUGGCUCACCAAGGCGACGAUCCGUAACUGGUCUGAGAGGAUGAUCAGUCACACUGGAACUGAGGCACGGUCCAGACUCCUACGGGAGGCAGAUGUGGGGAAUAUUGGACAAUGGGCGAAAGCCUGAUCCAGCCAUGCCGCGUGUGUGAAGAAGGUCUUCGGAUUGUAAAGCACUUUAAGUUGGGAGGAAGGGUUGUAGAUUAAUACUCUGCAAUUUUGACGUUACCGACAGAAUAAGCACCGGCUAACUCUGUGCCAGCAGCCGCCGUAA
rnacentral:rRNA from 1 species